AAGAAAUUCUGUAUGAUACCAAUAAGGGAAAAAGUUACCCCUAUAGGAAAAAAACUGUCCGAGUUCAAUUUAUACGUUCUUAUGUUCAAAAUGAAUGAAAACACACUGGUAGGGUUUCGAACUCACGUCUUUGAAAACAGAAAGCUUCUUUAACCUGUGCAUUACCACUUAAGCGAAACAUCGCCUCUUCUUGUUUUUUCUUUCUUUCCGGGUGACUUUCCAUGGAAAAUUUCUACUAAGGUGCACAAACUGAAGCACAGCCCAUUGAAUUGCAAAAAAAGAGUAGUGAAAAGGGAAGAACUUUGAUGCAGCCUAGGUGUUUGACGGUUUACCUAAAAUAACUGAAUAACUUUGUGUGCACUUCUUUUUCCAGCAAUCCCGAUUGAACAAUAUAUCAUGCAUUCUACAUCAUUUAUUUAAAGAGACAUUUUCUUGAAAUGUAUUCAAUUUGUUUCCAUCUAUGUGUUGUGUGCAUUAGCUCUUGCCUGUUUCUGUAGAAAAUAUUCCGCAAACUAAUUGUUUAUGAGGUUCCAGAAAGAGCUUAGUCUUGAUUUAUACAGCUAUUGUCUCCUCUUAUUUGUUUAUGGCUCUUUCAUUAGUUCAUCUCCUGGUCACCAUCUGCAUUAGUAUUUACUCUUUUUUCGUUUUUUGUUUCUAUGAAGCAUGUUUUAUCAUUACUGGCAUCAAGAAGGUGCAAAGAGUACAAAAGUAAAUAUGCCAGCUCCAUUACAUGAUAAAAUGAUAGGACCCGGGAGACUGCCAAAAAACCAAAAAAUCUGGAGAAGCCUUAGUAUGACUAUGCAGAGUUAAAGAGCUAACAAAAUCUAAGGGCCCGUUUGGCCAUGAAAUUUUUUCACUUUUUUCCAGAAACGUUUUCACUUUAUUUGUAAAUCAACGUUUGGCCAUGAAGAUUCCAAAUACAAUUUGAAGCUGUAUUUGGAAUUUGAAAAACACCAAAAAACUUGUUUUCACUUUCAAUACAUUAUAAACAACCAAAUAUUCUUUGCAAAAACUAUAACCAAACACAACUCUAUCUUCAACUCCAACUCCAAAAUACCAAAUAAAGUGGAAAAUAUUUGGUUUUCAUGGCCAAAUGCCUACUGAGAAAGCAGUAGAACGAUUCACAUAUGACUGAUUGGACCAACAAAAGAGACUAAACAGACAUCUAGCGGAUCAGUUAGGAAUUGAAAUUCCAUCAAAGCACCUGCUGUUCCUUUCUGUCUAAAGGCACCAGAAAUUCAUGCUGGUGUCAUUCUCCAGGAGUUCCUGGUGGCCCUAUCAACUCUUCAGCGGCUCCAGCUCACAACAACUUCUUUGCUAGUCUGAGGCAUCAUGCGGUGUUGAGGCUAAAGAGGGAAAAGAGAGCAUAUGCCACAUGUCUGCAGCCGCCAUACAAUGCAAGAAUAGAUGAUUAAUUGAUUCUGCAUUUUCUGACACAAAAAACAUCUGCUAACCAGCUGGAAACUUCUUCUACAAAGAUUGUCUUGUUGAAGAAGUGCUCCAGGCUAGUGCUACUGCCCAGAUUUUUCUCAUAAGUUGGGAUUUUUUUUUUUUAAUAACCUUGGUGUCCGGGCCAGCAUGUGUGCACUUGCCUAAUUCCACGCGAUAUGAAAGAGUUGGUCUUUGUUAUGUGAUAGAAAAACUGGAUGAUUUUCUAUUACUUGGAGCCAAAGGAUGCUGAAUUACUUGGAGCCAAAGAAUGCUCAAUUACUUGGAGCCAAAGAAUGCUAAGAUGUGGAGGAGAAUUGAAGAGCUCAUGUAGCACACUUGGAGCUCAAGUCAUUUAAUGCCUAUAAAAUGAGAGGAAAUUCUUCUUUGUUUAGCAUCUCAAAAGUCAUACAAUACAUUGUAGUGAGUAGAGAGUUGAGAGAACAAUUCUCUUAGGUGUAAUUGGGAAAUCUCCCCUUCCUUUGUUAAUAAUAUAAAGACAACUGUUCUCUGGUGGACGUAGGAUCAUUUUGAUCCGAACCACGUUAAAUCUUGUGGUCUUUCUUUUAUGUUUCCGCUAACACGAUACAUGCCACCUCCCACCAGCAACAGAUACUAGGUAACUCUGUCCAUCAAGCCUAGGACAGAUGAGAAGAAAUCACCUAGUGUUUUUGUCUCCGCUGGAUUUGAAGCUACGACCUCAUGGUUCUCAACCCACUUCAUUGACCACUAAGCCACACCCUUAGGUGCUCAUGAGUUGGGACUUGAGGCUAGGUUUUUUAUGAUCCUCAGGAGGUGUAUGAGCCUCAUUAGUUGAUCGAGUAAAUUAGAUUAGAAAUUGGUGGAAGUAAUAGAAAGAAGCAGCAAUAGCUGUUUAUAGAUGGCAUCAGUGUUAUCAAAAGCAAAAAGCGCAAAAAAACUCUAAGAUCAGCUGGGGCUUUAAGCGCAAAGGCGCAAAUAAAGUGUGGGCUUUAAUGAAAAAAGGGGCAAUGGUGCAAAAAUACAAAUAUAUAUAUGGUUAGUUCAAGACUAAUAAUAAUAAGCAUGAAUAACAAAUAUAUGGACAAAGAAAUUGUAAAAACAUUAUGAUAAAGUGAAAUAUCAAUUAUCAAGUGCCAUCUCUUCAAGAGAGGCUCAUUGGCAAGGAAAAUAUGUCUUAGAGCCUUGAUGAUGACACUGAAGCGCACAUAAAGCGAGGUGAAGCGUUCUAUGUUUUGAGCCUCGCUUCAGGGCUUAAGCGCGCCUUUGACAACACUGGAUGGCAUCCAGUGAAGUUGGCUCCAUUUUCCAUUUUCCAUGUCGGGAGUAUGUAUUUCAGUCUGUGUAGCUCCUCUAAUACUUGUAUUAAGACAUGCUUAAUUCUGUAAUAUGUUGAUAAGUGAGUAAAAUGGUGGAAGCAGUUUUCCAACUUUAGCUAUUGCGAGAGAUUACCAGAACCAAGGAAACUAUGCUUUCGCAGACUCAAUUGCACUAGUUGCAGUGGCGAAUUUAGGGCCUUUUUUUGGAGCACGUGAACACAUGGUCUCGCAAAAAAACUAGGUAUUUUAUGUAUAUAUUUUCUAAAAUUAGUAUAAUACUACCUACGGGAACACAUACUACAAAAGACUAAAUGGUGCACUUGGUUGAAAAUUAAGUGGUGAACCGAUGCUCCAGAAAUCCUAGAUUCACCUCUGACUAGUUGGGUGGAACUUCUACUUUUAAUGGUGCCAAAUAAAUCAUAAUCUGUGUUCUCCCCUCCCCGACAAAAAUAAGAAAGAAGAUAAGAAUGUGAUGGAAUUAUUAAAUAAUCUCAAUGGGCAGUACAUCUCUCUGCUCAACUGAAAGUGACAUCUUAUCUCCCUAUUUAUUUAAUCUUCCUUUGCUCUUGUCUUUGGCAUUUGGAGACAUGAGGACAUGAGGUCUGCAAAGUCCUCUUCUUUUGAUUAGUUAAGAUGUUUCAGGUACUAAUGUACUUCCACCGGAAUCAGAUGAUGCAAGUAGCAAAUGCUCCCCAUAUGCGGACUUAGGUGUCGUAACAUUUGUGAAGUUAUUGGGGAAAAUUCUAGAGAAACUCUAAUCCGGUUCUUGGACUACUAGUCUACUGGCACAUGUCAAACUCCAUAUCAACGUAGGAACCGAAUCUACAAAGGGUAGCAGCGCCAGUUGAGAGCUGCUUCACAAAAGGAGGAAGGUGGAGAUGGUGGUGGUGGUCAUCACUGACCUUUAUUCUUGAUCAUGGUUUUAUCAACCGAAAGGUAUGGAAGUAACUGUAUGUCGUUUUGAAUUUUGAAACAAAGAAUCAAAUCAGUUGCAUUUUAUGUGAGCUGUGGAUAAUUGAAAUGGCUCUGUUCAGUUUCUUUCUCAUGUGGCCAUGUUUUGUGGCUGAUAUCAACGUAUGUUUUAAAGGGCACAUUUGCUACCACUUGCACUGAGGACUUUGGUUUCAGUUUUUUCUUGGAAAUUUGGGACUCAUCAAAUGGAAUGAUCAUUUUUUUCAAGUGUAUUAUGUAAUCAAUUCGGAAGGAUCGAAUCUUGUUAUAUAGGAAAUAACAAGAACAGCUAAAACCUAAGAUACAGCUUAACAUCAAUUUCGGAAGGAUCCAAUCUCCAUUAGUUUUGUGUCUCUUGCAAACACUUCUUAGAUAAAUUAAUUUGGCUAGUAAUUGAUCUGCAUUUUCAAUUGUAACCAUAUGUUAUCUUGCGUAAUAAUGGAAUCAUAAUUUGCAUGCGCA